rnacentral:lncRNA from 1 species
GUGUUACUCGUAUGUACUCGUAUGUUACUCGUAUGUACUCGUGUGUUACUCGUAUGUACUCGUAUGUACCUGUGUGUUACUCGUAUGUUACUCGUAUGUACUCGUGUGGUGUUUUAGUCACGAUCCUAUUUGAACGUGCCGAAGUGAACUUUGCUCUUUAACUAAAAAAAACAACUUUAAAACGUAAGUCUACGGACCAAUACUUUUUUUGUAUUAUCGUCUAGGUAUAGUUGUUUAUUUUGAGUGCUUUGGUAUAGUUGCUUAUUUUGAGUUGUUUAUUUUCCAGAUAAUCUUGAUACGCGGAAAAGUACUGGCACUAGUUGUCAAAUAGAAAUCCAUUUUAUGAUUAAAACAACUGAAUAUCUCCUGUAAUAUACUUUAUUUCGAUUCCAUAUUUUUGUCAGAGCUAUAGUUCUCAUAACCAA